rnacentral:lncRNA from 1 species
AACAUAAACUACACUUAUAUGCGGCAAAGCUUAGCGAAAGGUAGUGCGACGUAAUCAGUCAAACAAACUUUAUUAGAUUAACUCGUAAAGGAACGGUCGUUUUCAUUGGCCAAUUCAAACCUUCGCCCUCACACCUGCGAAAAUAGAACACGCGUACUAUAAGUUGAAUGGACUGAUCAGUAUUCACGUAACCGGUCAAGGUUGUUAUAACCUCCAUCGUAGUAUUCACGUAUAUUAUUGUGUUCUGGAUUAUCCCAUAGCAAUUCUAACUUUUCAAUGAUACAUGUAUGUGCAUGUAAAAUUCAUUGAAUUUAUAAUUU